CCCCAGACCAAUCUCUAUCCGAUCAACUUUAGGCAGCCAGGUGUAGGUGAGAAGGGGAACCCUGAUGGUUACCUUGACUACAAAGCUCACCCUUACAGGACCCCAGCUGAUGCCAACAGCAGCCGAGCCACAAGGCAGACAGAGAAGAUGGACGCACGACAACUUACACCUAAUGGACAUGACACAAGAUCACAUCCAUCCUUGGAUGGAAAAUGCUUGAUACAGAUAUGUGUUUAACAAGACCACAGAGAAAGACUGUUAUGUUUGCUUGCACAUGCCGAGCAUAUUAACACAACCAUAUAUGGGAAACACCCUGGGACAGGUGCACUAAUUCUGAUUUCCGACCACCUUCAGAGUGACUUUUGUAAAGUGCACAACAACAACAACAACAACAACAUCGUCAUCCUGAUCCAGGAAGAAGCCCUCAACUUUAACAAGUUUUAAAGAGACUGUUGAUCGUCAUUGAAUUUUUCUUGUUUUUAUUUUGCUUUCCUUUACUUAUGUUAUUCUUUGUUUGAAGCUGUAAUUUCACAGAUGAUAAGUUUGUCAUUCACAGCAUACGCAGAUGUACCAAAACCAGUGAAGACUUCUUUUCCUAUUUGUCAGAUGAAGAUGAAGUGUAACUUAUGAUGUAUAGUUGCUUAUUGUACAUUUCAUUUCUCUGAUAAACAGGGCGGAAUGUUAAGAGAAUAUGGUAUAUAUGUGAUCAGCUACAUGAAAUGUAUUAUCAUUAAGCACAUUUCUACAUGACUUUUCACCUAGUAACUUGUGUGCUGAACCUCUGCAGAUACUAACCGCAUCCUGUUGUUCUGAACAUUUAGAUGUAGAAGAAGACCAAGCUCAGCUCUAUUACAAGAACAUACAGACGUAGAAAAGGGAAAGUCCCGCUACUGGAGUGAUGAUGUUAUCUAUGUAACACACACACACACACACACACACACAACAAUCUUGUAUAAAUAAAGGUCGCGGACAGUCGUGGGUUGCAGAUCCUGCGUCUAAAGGGCUGCCCUCGCGAGUAAAAGAAGAACUGCAGUUGUUUGUGUGUUUUCUAAACUCAGGAGUCUUGGCUAAAGAAAGAACGGCAGGGUGAUUUAAAGAAAUCCUCUGUCAAGCUGUAAUUAAUGAUUUUUAUACAAUAAGUGGAAGAUCUAAAUAUUAGAAUGGAAAAAUUGGAAGAAUUAUGGAUUUGUAUUCUAAAAAUUUGAAGGACUAGAGAUAAUUAUCAUAAAAAUGAAAGCAUUAGUGAUUUUGAUUGAACUUACCUUGAAGCAAAUCUUUUCCAGUCUGCUGUAUUCUUCCCAGCCUCGACAUCACUGCCCCUCCCACCCAAACUCAUGACUACACAGACCUUUCAGCCAAUCACAUUAUUAAUUCUGCC
ensembl:lncRNA